GAUGAACGCUAGCUACAGGCUUAACACAUGCAAGUCGAGGGGCAGCAUGACGAUAGCUUGCUAUUGUUGAUGGCGACCGGCGCACGGGUGAGUAACGCGUAUCCAACCUUCCCGUUGCUAGGGGAUAACCUUGCGAAAGUAAGACUAAUACCCUAUGAAGUUCUUCGCAGGCAUCUAAAGAGAACGAAAGAUUUAUCGGCAACGGAUGGGGAUGCGUCUGAUUAGGUUGUUGGCGGGGUAACGGCCCACCAAGCCCACGAUCAGUAGGGGUUCUGAGAGGAAGGUCCCCCACAUUGGAACUGAGACACGGUCCAAACUCCUACGGGAGGCAGCAGUGAGGAAUAUUGGACAAUGGGGGAAACCCUGAUCCAGCGACGCCGCGUGAGUGAAGAAGUAUUUCGGUAUGUAAAGCUCUAUCAGCAAGGAAGAAAAUGACGGUACUUGACUAAGAAGCCCCGGNUAACUACGUG
rnacentral:rRNA from 1 species